rnacentral:rRNA from 2 species
UACAGAGGUCUCAAGCGUUGUUCGGAUUCAUUGGGCGUAAAGGGUGCGUAGGUGGCGAGGCAAGUCAGAUGUGAAAUCCCGGGGCUCAACCCCGGAACUGCAUUUGAAACUGCCUUGCUCGAGUACUGGAGAGGAGACUGGAAUUUACGGUGUAGCAGUGAAAUGCGUAGAUAUCGUAAGGAAGACCAGUGGCGAAGGCGAGUCUCUGGACAGUUACUGACACUGAGGCACGAAGGCCAGGGGAGCAAACGGG